AUGAAUAUCGCCCUACUCUCCUGCUGGCUUUGGCGCAUCUCGCAAAGGCAUGGUGGCCUUUGGCUGGACAUCAUCCGGAACAAAUACUUGCGCGGACAACCCCUCGCCUUUUGUCAGAAGUCUGGUGGAUCUCAGUUCUAGCAGUCGAUUGUCCAGCUUCUCCCGGUCCUCCGUAAUGGGACCUCCAUCUCGGUCGGAUCCAGGACAUCGACGCUGUUCUAGUUCGAUCGCUGGGCUGGGGACACUCCCUUUGAGGCUCACUUUCCUGGCCUCUUCUCCAUCUCCGUCGAUCCCGUGAUCUCUGUGGAAAGGGCCCUUCUUGACUUAGGGCGCCUUGCUUUCCGGCGGGCCUUUGGCCCCAUGGAAUCCGCCGCGUGGCGUGAGUUGCUUGACUGUGUUGCUCUCCACGAACCGAUGGUGGAUGGUGGCCCUGACCUGGUGCGUUGGCGCCUUGAGCCUUUGGGCCAAUUCUCCACCAAGUCGCUAUACAUGGACAUCGCCCCAUCUUCCGCCCCUCUCCCCCUAUCGAUGGUGUGGUCCAUCCACCUGCCCCUGAAGACCAUAUCUUCAUGUGGCAAUGGAUUCACGGUCGGAUCCUGUGUGCGGUGGAGGUGCGCAAGCGGAAUGGCCCGGGUACGGGCAUCUGCCCACUUUGUGGGGUCCCGGAAGACUCGAAACACAUUUUCUUCUCCUGUGUAUCCGCUCAGUUCCUCUGGAGCUGCUUUCGCGAAGCGGUCGGUGGAAAUUGGUGCCACACCAACUUCCCCGACCUAUUUGCCGAACUCCAGAUGUCCCCCGUGA
rnacentral:rRNA from 1 species